UCCAACGGUCAUAUUAUAAUCUAGAGUUUCUCUGCGCAAUCAUCAACAAAUUCACAAACAAUUCUAUCCCCCGUGUACAAUUACAUUCGUAAUCUAUUGAGUCAUCUCAACUCCCUCAAUAUUGGCAUUUCCCUAUCCCUGUCCAUGUCCAUGUCCAUGUCCAAUUUGAUUAUUUCUUCAUCUAAUUCUCUGCAGAAGAAGUCCCAAUAAGGCUGGCUGAGCAAUAAGCAAUGCAGAUUGAGGAAUUGGAGAAAAUCGAUCCUUCCAGCGCCAAGAAUCAAGAAAAUAAGGAGAGAACAGGGAAGUUGAAAGCCUCGGUGGAAAAUUCUGACGCAAAAGCUUCGAAUUUCAACUCCGUAAUUGAUAUAUCUGGAAAAGUUCUCGAUUUUCCACUUGUUAGUGGCGACGAUAGCACAGUGGAGGAGGUUUUUAUCUACAAGAAUGAGUUGAAUUUGAUUGGGAGGCUUAAGGGUUUAAAAACUAUCAAGUUUUUCGCGAAUGAAUUAAACUUGUUUCCUGGGGAGUUUAGGAAUCUGGUUGAGCUGGAAUGCUUGCAAGUGAAGGUAACGGACCCGGGAGUUAGUGAGUUGGAGUUAAGUAAACUGGGGAAUCUGAAAGAGCUAGAGCUCAGUAGAGUGCCCCGAGGCCUUCUGCUUUCCCCCUUUUGCGUGAGAUUACUGGGCUCGAGCGUUUGACGAGGCUCUCCGUUCGUUACUUCUCCAUAAGAUAUCUACCUCCAGAAAUAGGCUGCCUCAGUAAUUUUAGAGGACUUGGAUCUUUCAUUUAACAAAAUGAGGAAUUUACCAGUUGAGAUUACUUUGCUGAACUCAUUGGUGUCUUUGAAAGUGACGAACAAUAAAUUGGUUGAGCUGCCUUUGGGAUUUUCCCGUCUUCAAAGUCUGGAGAGCCUGGACUUAUCAAGUAACCGGUUAACUUCCAUAGAGUGUUUAGAACUUGAAUCAAUGCAUAAUCUUCAAUCUCUGAAUCUUCAGGUUUCAAAGGGUCGGGAAAGGUACCGAGACUGUGAUGAUAUUUUUCUGAGUCUCGAUCCCGGGAUAAACCUGCUCUGAUACCAUCUUAACGAUGGUGAUCGAGAGAGGUGGGAUAUUGCAUACUGGCAAAAAGGAGUUUGAGAGAAGAAGAAUUUCGUGUAUUUCUUGUAUAUGUUCUAUGAUUUACAUGGCCCUCAAUUUAUAGUAAAGUCUUCUCCCUAUCUAUGGUAAAUGUCAUAAAUUGUAAUCAACCUAUUCUUAGAGAAUUAUA